rnacentral:rRNA from 1 species
UACGGGGGGAGCAAGCGUUGUUCGGAUUUACUGGGCGUAAAGGGCGCGUAGGCGGCGCAACAAGCCACUUGUGAAAUCUCCGGGCUUAACCCGGAGCGGUCAAGUGAUACUGUCGUGCUAGAGUGCGGAAGGGGCUACUGGAAUUCUCGGUGUAGCGGUGAAAUGCGUAGAUAUCGAAGAGGGAAACACCCUGCCGGCGAAGGCGGGUAGCUGGGCCGACACUGACGCUGAUGCGCGAAAGCCAGGGGAGCGAACGGGG